rnacentral:rRNA from 1 species
GGAAUCUUCGGCAAUGGACGAAAGUCUGACCGAGCAACGCCGCGUGAGUGAAGAAAGUUUUCGGAUCGUAAAACUCUGUUGGUAGAGAAGAACGUUGGUGAGAGUGGAAAGCUCAUCAAGUGACGGUAACUACCCAGAAAGGGACGGCUAACUACGUGCCAG